CAGGACGAACGCUGGCGGCGUGCCUAAUACAUGCAAGUCGAACGCACUCUCGUUUAGAUUGAAGGAGCUUGCUCCUGAUUGAUAAACAUUUGAGUGAGUGGCGGACGGGUGAGUAACACGUGGGUAACCUGCCCUAAAGUGGGGGAUAACAUUUGGAAACAGAUGCUAAUACCGCAUAAAACCUAACACCGCAUGGUGUAGGGUUGAAAGAUGGUUUCGGCUAUCACUUUAGGAUGGACCCGCGGUGCAUUAGUUAGUUGGUGAGGUAAAGGCUCACCAAGACCGUGAUGCAUAGCCGACCUGAGAGGGUAAUCGGCCACACUGGGACUGAGACACGGCCCAGACUCCUACGGGAGGCAGCAGUAGGGAAUCUUCCACAAUGGACGAAAGUCUGAUGGAGCAACGCCGCGUGAGUGAAGAAGGUUUUCGGAUCGUAAAACUCUGUUGUUGGAGAAGAAUGUAUCUGAUAGUAACUGAUCAGGUAGUGACGGUAUCCAACCAGAAAGCCACGGCUAACUACGUGCCAGCAGCCGCGGUAAUACGUAGGUGGCAAGCGUUGUCCGGAUUUAUUGGGCGUAAAGCGAGCGCAGGCGGUUUCUUAAGUCUGAUGUGAAAGCCUUCGGCUCAACCGAAGAAGUGCAUCGGAAACUGGGAAACUUGAGUGCAGAAGAGGACAGUGGAACUCCAUGUGUAGCGGUGAAAUGCGUAGAUAUAUGGAAGAACACCAGUGGCGAAGGCGGCUGUCUGGUCUGUAACUGACGCUGAGGCUCGAAAGCAUGGGUAGCAAACAGGAUUAGAUACCCUGGUAGUCCAUGCCGUAAACGAUGAGUGCUAGGUGUUGGAGGGUUUCCGCCCUUCAGUGCCGCAGCUAACGCA
rnacentral:rRNA from 2 species